rnacentral:rRNA from 1 species
UACGUAGGGGGCAAGCGUUGUCCGGAAUCAUUGGGCGUAAAGAGCGUGUAGGCGGCCCGGUAAGUCCGCUGUGAAAGUCCAGGGCUCAACCCUGGGAUGCCGGUGGAUACUGUCGGGCUCGAGUCCGGAAGAGGCGAGUGGAAUUCCUGGUGUAGCGGUGAAAUGCGCAGAUAUCAGGAGGAACACCGGUGGCGAAGGCGGGUCUCUGGGCCGUAACUGACGCUGAGGAGCGAAAGCAUGGGGAGCGAACAGG